CCUCUUUCUUUUCUGAUGGCCGUCGCCCCGUACCGGUCGCCUGUCGUCGCACGGCCCUGAUAUUGACCGCCGACCUUUUGGCCGCCGGAGAAACUCUACUUGUCUUUGUUGCGCUCUCGACCACGCCGACCUCCGAGGUGAAAGAAGCAAGUGGAAAAAACAGGAAUGCCUGCGCGCGCGCCACUGGUCCAACGCCCCCGACACCCAAGGGCGCUCGACGGCCGACCACAGACAAAGUGAAAAAAAGGACGCCUCAUUUAUCGUCGCCGUGAAGCG
rnacentral:lncRNA from 1 species